CUUUCGCCUCCGCGACACAGCCUAUUCCACUAGGUUCACGCGAAGCAGUGACUGGCUACCCUCCAAAAAGAAACACCGAACUCUCUGUGCACCACCAAAGCUAGCAAAAACUAGUCAAUUCCAGUCAACACGACUCCGUCUACUAUCAACAAGAGAUUAAGGAUGAUCAGUUCCUCAAUUUGUCAAUAAAUAGUCGACAAUCAUGAUGGUGGUUUAGACCAUCUUUACCCAACUUAAAUGAUGCUUCAUUCCACUUGUGCUCAAUGUCCUCCGUGGUACAAGGGUUCCACAAUUCCUUCGAGGUUUUCCUUAAUGCUUUCCUCGAUCUCUUACGAUUUCGACCUUGUCUUCGUAAGACACAACGCUCAAAACACGGCACUCAAACUCUCAUGCUUCCACUCAUGAGACAUCCAUUGAGUAUAAUCCAACAGUAGUACAGUGCCACCACGGCAGUUACCACCAAACCGUUACAUUCCGAAAGAAGUUGUCUUCUCUAUAGAAGAACUUCACACUUGACUGAUAUCCAUAAGUUCGCAACUCAAUGAAUAUGUCGAACCGUAUGCUCACCUUCGAAUCUCUUUCCAAACACGACUUAAAUAAUACCAUCCCAACCUCCCGGUUGGUGAUUACAACUCCCCAUUUGUCUUGGCACUUGCCAAACUAUACCAUCUACUCCUCUUGGACUCCCUUAUACAAUCUCAAUUUCCCAAAAAUUGGUUUCUUACACGUCCACAUUACUUCCCAAAAAUAAACCUUAGGGUACUCCUUACAUUACUAUUGUUCAACCAUCCAUGGUGACAAUAUCCGAAUUCCUUUACAAGAAUGACGUCCACUCGUCCACACUCAACAUCUUCGAGUGACCACAUCCAACGCUACUUCCAAGAAUCCCUUGUAGUUCUGAUUUGUUCCACCAUCUUUCUUUCUCACCAUUAGGACUGAUGCUCCUCACGGGGACACACUUGGCGUAAUAAAUCCUUUUUUCAAUUCCACAGAAACUUCCACAUCCAUCCGACAAGUGUUAAAAGCAGUCACAUCACGUUUGGUUGAAGUCACACACUAACUCAUUCGGGGGUCACUCCCACGAAAGACUCACUGCUACUAACAACGAUUCGCGAAACCAACGCGACUCUAACUCUAGACUGACUGACCUCAGACUGUUAACUCAUGUACACACUUUCCCUUUGAAGAUCUAAUGCCGAGCUCUGAUACCAAAAUGUAACACCCC
rnacentral:lncRNA from 1 species